CAAGAAGAGAGUAAUAGUCCCUUCCAGGUCUUUGGAAAGGAUGACAGCAGUGAUGUAUGCCAAAUAUUUUGCAGCCAAUGUGUCUACUGAUGUUGCAUUCACUCCAGUCCAGGAUGGAAACAGGUUUUUGGAACACUCUGAAUGUGUGGAAUGGAGGUCUUCUACAUGUUGAAUCGUAUUUCCUGCACUGUGUCUGUACUGGCCUGCAAAAGAAGGAACAUUUUCAGGGAAAGAGGUUGUUUUCUGAAAGCUACAAAUAUUAAAGCUGUUAGACUUCCAUGAAAAGAAGAAAAAAAAGAAAAAAAAAAAAAAAGAAAAAAGAAAGUCAUUAUUUUACAGUUUCAUUGGGAAAACCCUCUCAAAUGCAAGACAGUUUCUGGAGACUGGAAAAAUCUGGAACCAGGCUUCAUUCUUGAAGGCAGAGGAGUGACAUGGUGAAUCUCAAUUCCAGGUCUGCAAGAAGUUCAGUUCAAGAUUCUGCUCCAUGCCAGGCAUAUGAACAUGGACUUUCCUUUACUCCUGAUGAGAACCUAAAACAGCUAUUACAGAGUUCCCUCACUUUUAAAUGAAUUUUAGAUCUUUGCAGCUG
rnacentral:lncRNA from 1 species